rnacentral:rRNA from 1 species
CCUACGGGUGGCAGCAGUGAGGAAUAUUGGUCAAUGGACGGAAGUCUGAACCAGCCAUGCCGCGUGCAGGAAGACGGCUCUAUGAGUUGUAAACUGCUUUUGUACAAGGGUAAACCUGAAUACGUGUAUUCAGCUGUAUGUACUGUACGAAUAAGGAUCGGCUAACUCCGUGCCAGCAGCCGCGGUAAUACGGAGGAUCCAAGCGUUAUCCGGAUUUAUUGGGUUUAAAGGGUGUGUAGGUGGAUUGUUAAGUUAGUGGUGAAAGGUCCGAGCUUAACUCGGGAAUUGCCUCUAAUACUGGUGAUCUAGAGAGUAGUUGAGGUAGGCGGAAUGCAUGGUGUAGCGGUGAAAUGCUUAGAGAUCAUACAGAACACCGAUUGCGAAGGCAGCUUACCAAUCUAUAUCUGACAUUGAGGCACGAAAGCGUGGGGAGCAAACAGGAUUAGAUACCCUUGUAGUC